CAGCCCGCAAGACCUCGCCGCCUGCCCAGCUCUGUCAUUGACUAAGGUUGCUUUUGUCAGUACAGCCGCCAGGGGUUUCCACGCUCAUUCCCCUCCGGACAAGGUGGACAGCUUUGGUGAUAGACAACUGGGAGGUAAAACUCCACAGAGCCAUGCCAGCGACUGACCGCCCAGGGACAGGAGAUGGAGACGUUCAGCUGCAAAGGCUACGGAGGAACCCCCGCAAUUGGAAUCUCUCCAUGCCUUCUGCAGCAUGGAACAUACUCCGGGACCUACCGGGGCUCUCUCGGGCCACCUCUGAGUGCAAGGGAAAAGAGUGCAGUUCAAGGAAGGGAAUGUGUCUGUCAUCCCACCACUUGCGCGCAAGGCCAGUUCCGGGAUCAGCAGGCUUCCUUCACCAGCACGGGCUCUUCAUUAGCAACCACUGGGAGGGAAUGUGUGCGGAGUCAUGUCAAGAUGGGAAGGCACAUGUUCCCAUCUUGACAGCAGCAGAAAGAAAAAUGGCAGCAGAAGGAAAACAGCAGCAGAAAGAAAAAUUUGACUCAGAUGGGUUGAGAGGGCAAUGGCAAGCAAUCUUGGUACAUGUCAGCUGCAUCUCAGAGUCUCGCUUUGUUGCCCAGGCAGUGGCAUGAUCUUGGCUCACUCCAAACUCCACCUCCUGAGUUCAAGCAAUUCUCCUGCCUCAGCCUCCCGAGCAGCUGGAAUUACAGAUGCCUGCCACCACAGCUGUCUAAUUUCUUGGUUUUUGUUUUUGUUUUUGAGAUGGAGUUUCGCUCUUGUCACCCAGGCUGGAGUGCCAUGGUGCAAUCUCAGCUCACUGCAACCUCUGCCUCCCAGGUUCAAGUGAUUCUCAGGCUUCAGCCUCCCAAGUAGCUAGGAUUACAGGCGUGCGCCACCACACCUGGCUAAUUUUUUUGUAUUUUUAGUAGAGAUGGG
rnacentral:antisense_RNA from 1 species